CCAGCCCAAUAGCCCGGUGAUUAAAGCCCAAUCUGUAAUAACAAACAAACUCCACCUGCAACGAGUAACGAACUUGUUGCUCUGAGCGAUAAAGAAAGGAACUGAACAGCGUCGUUUCAAGCAUAGAAAACGAGCUGAAGAGAUGGCCGCCGAAAAUACAAGCAUAAGAGUUCUUUGCCCUAAGCUACUAAUCACCAGAAAAGAAGCAGGACUCCAAUGGCUAAUCGGAUCACCCUUUUUCCCGCCAUUCACAAUUGUCUCGACUUUCAGAUGCAUCCACACAUUCGAAAACUCUCUCUCUCCAAAUUACAACAAAGAAUCAGAAGAAAUCCGAGCACUAUUACUGAAUGGAUUCCAUGUGAUCGGAGCUUUAAUAAUUACUGGAAGCUCUGAUGGAGAAAAACUUGCUGCUGAGGCCAUAAAUGCUGGUUUCGAAUUUAGCAAAAUUCUCUAUGAUGACAGAGAACUGGGCAAGAAAAGAGUGAUUGGAGCAGUUGCUGACUUGGAUAGUGGUGAUACUAAGUUUUUUGUUUCGAGAAGUGGCAAUUUAACGAGUAUUGAAUCUAUUGCUUCUGUUAUUUAUGAAGAUCAUCCUGAGAAGUAUGUUUGGGAGAAAGGUUGCUUGAUUCGAUGUCAUCUUCCUAUUAAGUUACCUUUUUGUGUUCCUGUAAACAAUCCGCUUGAUGCAGAGAAGAUGUUUUUGUGUGCAACGGAAGCAGCUGUUGCACAAUUAAAAGAUCCACAGGCUGUAUACAUGGUAGAAAGAUUAAGCAACGAGUCUUUAGAAGUAACUGCACCUGCCAUUAUAUGUGGUACUGGAUUGGAUUUUAAGACAGAUCUCUCAGAUAUUAAGCUUGUGGAUAAAGAAGCUUCACGAGAUUCUGAUGCAAAAGUAUUAACAUGUGGAGACUUUUGUUUGAAUAGCAAAUCUUCUCCAACAGUGUUUUCUGCAGAGAAUGCAGAUGUGAUCCUAGUGACUGUUCUGCUUAAUCGGUCACAGAAGUCCCCACUGUCUGUGGCACCCAUUGCGGAAUAUUUUCCAGCUUUGGGAGAUGCCAGAUUUCUAGUCGUGCAUUUUGAGCUAGAUGUGCUGUGUUAUGCAGACAAGGAUCUUUCACUGAUAUAUGCUGUUUCAAAGUUGAUAAUCCCAGGGUUAGUUGACCAAUUACAUUCAAUGAAGAAAGCAAUCUUGCCUAAUCUCUUAGCAGAACAUCCACAGCUACAUUCAUACCAUUUUAAUCCUCCUGGGCUUUUGCAUCCAAUAACUGUUGUCUAUGAACUCAAUUAUGGGGAGACCGAACUGAAACAAGUUGAGGUCAGAAGGUCCUUACACUUGAGGCUGGGGCUCCCUUUUGAUCGUCCUCUUCUAAGAGUUGCUAAUGCACUGGAUUUCUCUACUGCAAAGGAUAGUUCAGGAGGAAAUUCAAGACGAAAAGGCUUGUCUUUGCUUAAAGAUGUGCAUCUUGGGAUCCCAAGUAGUGGGGUUUCCGGAGGGAUUGUUGCUCUAGUUCAAGGUUCUUAUGACUACCAUCACUAUCUCCAAGAUGGCUUUGAUGACUCGGGCUGGGGUUGUGCUUACCGCUCUCUGCAAACUAUCAUUUCAUGGUUCAGACUUCAGCACUAUACUUCCAUUGAAGUUCCUUCUCAUAGGGAAAUACAGCAAUCUCUAGUGGAGAUAGGGGAUAAAGAUCCUUCAUUUAUUGGGUCUCGUGAUUGGAUUGGUGCUAUAGAGUUGAGCUUUGUUUUGGAUAAACUUCUGGGUGUAACUAGCAAGAUCAUAAAUGUGAGAUCAGGAGCUGAGCUUCUUGAAAAAUGUAGAGAGCUGGCAUUGCAUUUUGAGACUCAAGGAACACCCAUUAUGAUCGGUGGUGGUGUUCUUGCGUACACUCUUUUGGGAGUUCAUUACAACGAAGUCAGUGGAGAUUGUGCAUUUCUGAUACUAGAUCCUCAUUAUACUGGUAAUGAUGAGCACAAGAAAAUUAUAAAUGGCGGAUGGUGUGGAUGGAAAAAAGCUGUUGACAGCAAAGGAAAGAGUUUCUUCUUGCAUGACAAGUUCUAUAAUCUUCUGCUGCCACAGAGGCCCAACAUGGUUUAGAGGUGACUAUACUACCAAACUGAUAUAUAAACCGAACCUUCAUACUAAUUGCAUGUCAAAAGGAGAAAGUUAGACUAGGGCCAUCGGCAUCGGACAAUAUCUUCUUUAAAAUAGUUCCUUAAAAUGGAGUUGAGAUUUCUGUGUGAAUGCAGUGAAGUGCUUAAGAGUGUUUGCUCAUUGGUGCAUUUGUUUGGGUUUAUACCGGCUCGUACUUUAUUUUUGGCAGGUGAUCUUGGAGAAGUCGGCUUAUUGGCUGUUAAUUUGAGUGGGAAUCAGAGUUAUCUUCAUUCAUAUAAAAAACUGUGCUCACUUAUUUUCUUGAGACGCCUUUUACUCGGCGACUAUUGUUUGAUCCAAAAUGAUUCCGUAUCGACUCUCCCCUCUUCCAAGGUAACGAAGCUUCCAAAAAAUACCCAAUACUGUUGGACCAUCGCGGUCUGGAUACUUAGACCCUGUGAUUUGGCUGCGCGCCAUCGGCACCGAGAUAGAAAUAAAUUGUGUGUGUUGUUCUUUUCCUUUGUUUUUUUUUUUUUUUUUUUUUUUUUUUUUUUUUUGAGAAGGGAGAUAGAAAAUAAUUGUUAUAGGGUACAUUAUUAAUUUUUUAAAUUUGUUCAUAUUAUCUUGUUUGAUAUAUAAUGACUUCAAAAAUAUUUGUUUGAAACAAUCAUUCAAUUAUCGAAAUGAGGGGUUUCAUACAAAUUCA